rnacentral:rRNA from 1 species
GAGCGAACGCUGGCGGCAGGCUUAACACAUGCAAGUCGAGCGGGCCCUUCGGGGUCAGCGGCGGACGGGUGAGUAACGCGUGGGAACGUGCCUUCUGGUCUGGAAUAACCCUGGGAAACUAGGGCUAAUACCGGAUACGCCCUUUUGGGGAAAGGUUUACUGCCGGAAGAUCGGCCCGCGUCUGAUUAGCUAGUUGGUGGGGUAACGGCCUACCAAGGCGACGAUCAGUAGCUGGUCUGAGAGGAUGAUCAGCCACACUGGGACUGAGACACGGCCCAGACUCCUACGGGAGGUAGCAGUGGGGAAUAUUGGACAAUGGGCGCAAGCCUGAUCCAGCCAUGCCGCGUGAGUGAUGAAGGCCUUAGGGUUGUAAAGCUCUUUUAUCCGGGACGAUAAUGACGGUACCGGAGGAAUAAGCCCCGGCUAACUUCGUG